rnacentral:rRNA from 1 species
UACGUAGGGACCAAGCGUUGUUCGGAUUUACUGGGCGUAAAGGGUGCGUAGGCGGUCUUCUAAGUUUGAUGUGAAAUCCCGGGGCUCAACCCUGGAAUUGCAUUGAAUACUGGAGGACUAGAGUACCGGAGAGGAAACUGGAAUUUACGGUGUAGCAGUGAAAUGCGUAGAGAUCGUAAGGAAGACCAGUGGCGAAGGCGAGUUUCUGGACGGUAACUGACGCUGAGGCACGAAGGCCAGGGGAGCAAACGGG